GCAGUUUUAGCACAUCAUACUUAUUGACAGAAUAUUUGUGGCGUGCAACACCACGCUGUUUUGCGCACGCAUGAGCGACUCAUACCCUUAUCUGGCAUUUACUAAUGUAUAGCCAGUGUGCAGCUCGCGCGCACGAGUAUACUAGGCGCGAGCGCUGAAAUUCCUCCGCUGCUCACAGUCUGUGAUGUGCUCGCGCUCGGGACAGGGGCACUGGCACGCGCCAAACCGCUUUGGUUCCUUUGCACGCAGGAUACAGGAAUAAAAAUCCAUUUAGACCUUGGUUUUUCACGUGGUGGACUGGGAGACUCCCUGCGCCUUUUGAGAACAGUGGGUAAUUUCCAGUCGUCUGCCAUGUAUGAGGAGUCUGUGGAGACACAUGAAGUCAAAACUGAGAGCACCAUCGGGUCCUCUGUCUCCGCCUGCAAGAAGGUUUUGUGCAGUAACAGUGUGCUGGAUUCAUCUGAGUACUGGUUGAAGAAUGAUAAGGCCCUCUGCAGAAUUGGAUUUCUGGAGGACCAGCAUGAGGGAAGCUGCCCUACAGUGAGCU